rnacentral:tRNA from 1 species
AAAAAAUUAGUUAAUUUAUAAUAUAAGUUUGUCAAGCUUAAGUUGUCUUAUGGACAUUUUUUA